rnacentral:rRNA from 1 species
UACGUAGGGUGCAAGCGUUAAUCGGAAUUACUGGGCGUAAAGCGUGCGCAGGCGGUUGUGCAAGACAGAUGUGAAAUCCCCGGGCUUAACUUGGGAAUUGCGCUUGUGACUGGCGUGCUGGAGUGUGGCAGAGGGAGGUGGAAUUCCACGUGUAGCAGUGAAAUGCGUAGAGAUGUGGAGGAACACCGAUGGCGAAGGCGGCAUUCUGGACCGGAAACUG